rnacentral:rRNA from 1 species
AUUGAACGCUGGCGGCAGGCCUAACACAUGCAAGUCGAGCGGAGCGGCGGACGGGUAAGUAAUGCCUAGGAAUCUGCCUGGUAGUGGGGGAUAACGUCCAGAAACGGGCGCUAAUACCGCAUCCUAUCAGAUGAGCCUAGAUCGGAUGAGCUAGUUGGUGGGGUAAAGGCCUACCAAGGCGACGAUCCGUAACUGGUCUGAGAGGAUGACCAGCCACACUGGAACUGAGACACGGUCCAGACUCCUACGGGAGGCAGCAGUGGGGAAUAUUGCACAAUGGGCGCAAGCCUGAUGCAGCCAUGCCGCGUGUAUGAAGAAGGCCUUCGGGUUGUAAAGUACUUUCAGCGGGGAGGCGUUACCCGCAGAAGAAGCACCGGCUAACUCCGUGCCAGCAGCCGCGGUAAUAC